rnacentral:rRNA from 1 species
GACAGAGGGUGCAAACGUUGCUCGGAAUCACUGGGCGUAAAGGGCGCGUAGGCGGACAAGUAAGUCGGGCGUGAAAUCCCUAGGCUCAACCUAGGAACUGCACUCGAAACUGCAUGUCUUGAGUACCGGAGAGGAAAGCGGAAUACCUGGUGUAGAGGUGAAAUUCGUAGAUAUCAGGUGGAACACCAGUGGCGAAGGCGGCCUUCUGGACGGUAACUGACGCUGAGGCGCGAAAGCGUGGGGAGCAAACAGG